UGGAACUGGAAGAAAAGAGUGAUGGAGAAAUUAGUUGUAAUGCCACAAUGGCAAAAGGGUAAUUCACUACUGCCUGUUUUCCUCUCUUCCUCUGAAAAAAUUAAGUCCACUUCUGGAUUUUUACUUGUUUCUUUAAAGUUGAAUUUGUUCUAAGUUGUCUGUUUAAGGAUCUGAUAUCUAGGGAGAGGCAAUCUGGUGUAGUGGGUAAUAUAUAGGCUUGAAAUUAACAUGUCAUUUACUAGUUGUAUGGCACUGAGCAAGUGCCCUAAUCUCUUCUCAUUUGGAAAGGAAUAAUUCUGUUUACGUCAAAGGAUACUGUGAUGAAUAAAUGAUAACAGAUGUGAAGUGUCUUCCACAGUGCCUACUUCAUAGUGUAAAUGGUAGGUAUUACAAGUGACAAUUUCAAUAAUCAGGAAAACAACCUUAAGGGAUGUAGAAUUAUCCAUUUAAAAGUAGCCUCUUAAAAUACAGUGGCCUAUUUGAAUGAGCCUUAGAAGCAUUAUUUUAUCAAGUAUUAAUGGAGAAAUAUAGGCAAUCAUUUAGCAUUGGUUAUCCACAGAUGUUACUGGCUUUUUCCUAUGUCUAAGGUUGCUAAUUAGAUUAUAAACUUGAGAGGGAAAAAUGUAACCAUUUUGUUUCCUCCAAGGCCCAGGAUCAUUUAUACCUAAGCUGCUAAACUGCCUAAUUGACAGGGUCAGUAACUCUUAGGGGGAAAAUAGUAAAACAAAGUAAUUUAAAACCACAGAUAAGUAAAAAUGCAACUUGAUUCCUGCUUCCAAUAGAAAAAUACAUGGAAAAAAUGAAAGUUAGGUCUUAUAAUUUUACAAAUUUUACACAUAAAAUCUUGACUGUGGUCCAACAAAUUCAAACAACUUCAAUAUGAUUAAAGGGAAAGAGCAGAAGAAGAGAGAAAAAGGAGAGGAGAAAGGCAGCAGGGACUGUGUGGCUGCUCAGAUCCGAAUCCACCCUUCUUUGUCUUGCUUUGUGAUGCUGGAGCCAGACCCUGUUCAUGAUUCCCUUUGCCAUUGAGCUAAAUGUUAGCCUUUGUCAACAAGAGGGUGCUGGAAGGGCACUGCAAAGCUAUAGCAUUGGGAAGCAGGCUUCCUUCCCUGCUUUGUUGUGCUUUUUUUUUUGUCAUGUGGAAGGUUCAGCUUUGGUCCACCCAGACUCUCCUGGCAGGCUUCUUUGAUGGACCACUUCUGCCCACACCUUCUGGCACACUUCCUCUUCUGCACACCACCCUUGUGCUGUGUUCCUGUUCCUGUGGCAGCCAUACCCUCUCCAAAGACGUCCUUACAUAGAGGAACUACUUCUAAAUUCUUAAAUUUCUUUGUUUACUUUCCCUCUGUCAAAAAAUUGCCAAAGCAACCUCAGUCUACAGGGAGUAGCUGCUUUCUGCAUUUGCUACUUCAACAGUCUUCAGAAUCCUUUUAUGCCUUUUAUCAGUUGAUCAUCUUUCCCAGUUAACAAUUGUUGUUACUAAAUUAUCCCCAUUCAUAUUAUAGGGAAGUGGUUUAUUUCUCCUGACUGGACCCUGACUGAUAUAUAAAGACUUAAACAAAAAGAGAUCAAGAGAAGGAAAGGACAGAGAGACAAGGAGAAUAAAGCCUGGUUGGAAGCCAAAUUCCAGACAAUUCGUACAACUGAAUUGUCUUACCAUAAGCAGUUCUUUCCCUUCCACUCUCGAAGUGAAACUACUCAUCCUAUUUUUGUGAAGAUAUGUCAUAGUUUCACAAAGGGAAUACUGGAAGAAGUACUAGAAGACAUGAGUUUGAAUCCUAUCCUAGACAUUACUAGACUUAGGUGGGAACAAACUGAGGAAAACUGAAGACCUAAACCUUAUUGUAAGAGAAGAACAAAAGGACUAAGAGCUGGCAAUAGACUUUUCUGUCCUAUCAACAGGUGUCUUCCAACCUCAGCUGUAAAUAGCUAUGAUAUGAAUGGAGAUAUCUUCAAGCAGCUGCUAAUAGGCCAAUAAGAGGCACACAGGACAUGCAUCUUGUAAUUGAAAAAGUACUCAAUUGCCAGGAAUACUCAGAGCAGUGCACAGUGACUUUUGGUAAGGUUGAAAUGCUAACCCCCAAGAAGAUGUGAUCAAGAGGAUUGAAGAGUUCUUCCAUGGAUGUGAAGAACAGGUUAUAUUCUAUUCUGCUUGACAUAUCUACAAAAUUGGCAGCCAAGAUGUGAUGCCAGAAUCCUUACAGUUAGUAGUGACAGUUGGUAUGCCUGCAAGCAGUGAGGAGAAAACAUCUUAAUUUUCAAGUUUAUCAGGUUGAAUUCAUAGUGCUGGCACUUGGAAAAUCUUGCUUUGACUUAUAAAUGAAACAAACUGAUACAAAAACCAAAAACAGAGAGUAAGUAUGAAAUAAUGUCACAUGCUUUUUUCUAACAGUGAUCACAUUUUCAAAGAAAGGAGAAAAUGGAAAACAUUGCACUGAAAUGAUUAGUGUUCUAACCAGAUAUAACUAAGCACUCAUUUCAGAAAAAUAAAUCUGACAUUUCAUCUAGCAUUACGAAACAUAUCAGGUCAGGGUGUUGCUCACCCUAUACCUGUUGGAUUUGAAUGGAUAAACUGGACUAUUUUUGACCAACAAUAACAAUUUCAUAUGAUUCAACUAACACAAAAUAUUACCAGAUAUCAAAAAACUGAAAUGUAUUCAAAAUACAGAGCAUGAUUUCAAAUGGUAAGUCAGUUCCUUCAUACUAAGACCACAUACACAUGUGCAUAAUUUCUCACAAAAUGUAAACCAGCAGGCAUUCCUUCUGCCAGGCACAAAUGACUACAUCACUAUGUCACUAACUUCAGGAUCCAUGAACUUCAAAAACCUUUUAUUCAACCUUCUAUUAUCUAUUAUAAUAUUUAAAAAAGGAGAGUUUAAAAGAAUGCUACUUUUAUAUCUCUGCUUCUUGAGAAGAUGACAGGUUGAGUUAAAAAAGAAUAGGGGCAGGUUAAUUAACUCUAAUUAACUGAAAAUUUCAGGGCAAAACACAUAAAGCUCUAUCUACCUCUACUAUUUUCCAUUUACUCUUGUGCAGAAAUGCUUUCCCUUUCUUUAAUAUCUUUUAAACAUAAAAGACUGGAAAAUUUUAAACAUAGGAUUUUUAUAAAGUGAUUAAAACA